GCAUCCAUGGCUGAAUGGAAAAAGCACCCAACUCAUAAUUGGCGAUUGUGUAGGUUCAAUUCCUACUGGAUGCA
rnacentral:tRNA from 18 species